UGUAUUUUUGUCAUUGAUGGUGUCAUUAGUAUUGUCAGGUUCUCUCAAUAUGCGUUUGUUAUGGUUAUUAAUAAUAUGUUCCAUAUUGUUCAUGCAGCUGUAACUUAAUUUAAUUGUGUUGCGGUUAAAUAGUUUUCUGAGUUUGUGGUCUAUGGGAAAGUGCUUGUCAAUUAGUGAAAUGAAUUUGUAGCCGAUGUUUGUGCUGACGUUCUUGCUGUAUGGUGGGUUGUACCAGAGUAUGUUAUUUCUAAGUCUGUUUUUCCGUUUCGUAGUAGCGUUUGGGUCAUAUUUCAGUGUGUAAUGAUAUCCAUUUUCGUCAAGUGCUUUUUGGUAUGGAGGGAUUGCUUGGUCGAAUGAUGCUCUGUCGGAUGAUAAGGAUGAAAGGCGUUUGUUAAUGGUAUCGGGUGUUGCUUUAGUAAUGGCUAGUCCGUCGUCGCGAUAGAGUCCUAUGUUAGUAAUGAUGUGUUGCAGUUGUGAGAGUAGAUAGCUUCCUACGAGUUCGCAUGUUUCGGCGCCGUCGAAGCUGCCCAUUGUCACGUCGAAUGUGGAGUUGUA